CAUGUUCUAGAACUGGACUGAAAUUAAAAGAAAGCAAAAAUUGCACAUGUAUUUAAUGCAGGAGAUUACUUUUCACAGUUAAGUCAGAGUUAGCAGGUCCUUCAGCUAUCAGCAUAAUGCCAGAUCAACCACCUCAAUACCAGUUAUUUAAUCUCAGGCCCUCUGCAGCUCAAACAAAUGUGGAUGCUUUGGUGUCAGCCUUGUGGCGUACACUCUUCCCAGGACAAUAUUUUGGACAAAACCACAGGCUGGAUCAUCUCUUUGCCAGGAUGUCCCACAGGCCAGAACUGGCAACCCUGCAAAUCUGUCCCUACUAUUUUGAUCAGGUCACUUACCAUCUUCCCACCAGAGACCAAGUGAAACACAUGGAGAGACACAACCUCAGGCUGCACUGCUUUGACACAUGGGCAAACCUAAAACGAGAACAGGAGCUAGCCAAUGAGAGGCAGUGGAGAAGUCAUUUAAGGAUUAACCAAGGACCCCGGCACAGCAGUGGCAUCAAUUUGAGUCGACUUAGUCAACUCCAAGAUCCAAACACUGGCAGGAGUAUAUCCACCAGACAGUACAUUUAUCUGAUGUACGGCCACCACUGCUAACUCCUUUUUUUUUGUUACCACUAAAUUUGUCUAAUUACAAAUAUUGUUCCUUUUAAAAGAUGAA